CAAUGGCUUAUCCCAUGCUGUUGCCAUGCUCAACCCCCACUCUUGACAGAGCCUGAAAAGGAGUGGCUGACAAGAUGUGUCACCGGGCCAAAAGAAGAAAACUCGAUAGGAAGAAUUAGACCUUGAAGAGUGAAUGAUGAUUCAUCUUGCUACAGAUUUUUCACUUGAGGAUUUUCAUUUGCUUUUCAGUAACAUGAUUGUGUUCCUUUCCACCUCUGAGAAUACCCUUCAGAUUGAAGAAUGCUUUGGAAUUCUCUGAACUGAGGUUUAUUAAAAUUGAACUUUUUAGUGAUCA